CAGCAGCCGCGGGAAUACGAAGGGUGCAAGCGUUACUCGGAAUUACUGGGCGUAAAGCGUGCGUAGGUGGUGGUUUAAGUCCGUUGUGAAAGCCCUGGGCUCAACCUGGGAAUUGCAGUGGAUACUGGGUCACUAGAGUGUGGUAGAGGAUAGUGGAAUUUCCGGUGUAGCAGUGAAAUGCGUAGAGAUCGGAAGAAACAUCUGUGGCGAAGGCGACUAUCUGGGCCAACACUGACACUGAGGCACGAAAGCGUGGGGAGCAAACAGGAUUAGAGACCCGCGUAGUCCCUGUCUCUUAUAC
rnacentral:rRNA from 1 species